rnacentral:rRNA from 1 species
UACGUAGGGGGCGAGCGUUAUCUGGAAUUACUGGGCGUAAAGCGCACGCAGGCGGUUCGCCAAGUUUGGAGUGACAGUUGUCGGCUCAACCGACAAAGGACUUCAAAAACUGGUGAACUUGAGGACGAGAGAGGAACAUGGAACUCCAGGUGUAGUAGUGAAAUGCGUAGAUAUCUGGAAGAACACCAAUGGCGAAGGCAAUGUUCUGGCUCGUUUCUGACGCUCAGGUGCGAAAGCCAGGGGAGCGAACGGG